GACGAACGCUGGCGGCGUGCUUAACACAUGCAAGUCGGACGGUCGGCACUGGAAGGUUCGCUGGAAGGUGCCGGUAGUGGCGGACGGGUGAGUAACGCGUGAGGACAUGGCUCCAGGAGGGGGAUAACGUUUGGAAACGGACGCUAAGACCCCAUAAGCCGGGAGGUGAAAAUGGCGCAAGCCAGCCUGGAGAGUGACUCGCGUCCUAUCAGCUGGUUGGUGGGGUGACGGCCCACCAAGGCGAUGACGGGUAGCCGACCUGAGAGGGUGGCCGGCCACACUGGAACUGAGAUACGGUCCAGACUCCUACGGGAGGCAGCAGUGGGGAAUAUUGGGCAAUGGGCGCAAGCCUGACCCAGCGACGCCGCGUGGGGGAAGAAGUCUUUCGGGACGUAAACCC
rnacentral:rRNA from 1 species